rnacentral:RNase_P_RNA from 1 species
UGAGUGAACCGAACGACCGCGGGCAUAAGGCGAAAGUCUGUGCGUGAGGAAAGUCCGGGCUCCAUAGGGCAAGGAUAACGGGUAACGCCCGCCGAAGGCGACUUCAGGAAAAGUGCAACAGAGAUAUACCGCCCCGUUGAACUCCCGAGCUCCUGACAGAACCCAACGAAGUGGUUCUGGCAGGAAGAGGAGGAGCAGCAAAGUGACUGCGAUUUCGCGCUUGCGCGGAAGCGCAGGAUACGGAGCUUGCAACGACGGGGUAAGGGUGGAAAGGCGAGGUAAGAGCUCACCCGACGGCUGGGAACAGUCCGUCGCUGUAAACUCUAUCCGGAGCAACACCGUGGAGAGGACACAAGGCUUGCCCGGCCGUCCUCGGGAGGUGGCUAAAGCGUAUUGGCAACAAUCCGCUUAGAUAGAUGGUCGUUCAAGACAGAACCCGGCUUACAGGUUCGCUCACAUA